rnacentral:rRNA from 1 species
UGCAUAUCAAUAAGCGGAGGAAAAGAAACCAACAGGGAUUGCCUUAGUAGCGGCGAGUGAAGCGGCAAAAGCUCAAAUUUGAAAUCUGGCGCCUUCGGUGUCCGAGUUGUAAUUUGAAGAUUGUAACCUUGGGGUUGGCUCUUGUCUAUGUUUCUUGGAACAGGACGUCACAGAGGGUGAGAAUCCCGUGCGAUGAGAUGCCCAAUUCUAUGUAAGGUGCUUUCGAAGAGUCGAGUUGUUUGGGAAUGCAGCUCUAAGUGGGUGGUAAAUUCCAUCUAAAGCUAAAUAUUGGCGAGAGACCGAUAGCGAACAAGUACAGUGAUGGAAAGAUGAAAAGAACUUUGAAAAGAGAGUGAAAAAGUACGUGAAAUUGUUGAAAGGGAAGGGUUUGAGAUCAGACUCGAUAUUUUGUGAGCCUUGCCUUCGUGGCGGGGUGACCCGCAGCUUAUCGGGCCAGCAUCGGUUUGGGCGGUAGGAUAAUGGCGUAGGAAUGUGACUUUACUUCGGUGAAGUGUUAUAGCCUGCGUUGAUGCUGCCUGCCUAGACCGAGGACUGCGAUUUUAUCAAGGAUGCUGGCAUAAUGAUCCCAAACCGCCCGUCUUGAACCACGGACCA